ensembl:lncRNA
UGUGUGUCUGUGUGUGUCUGUGUGUGUCUGUGUGUGUCUGUGUGUGUGUGUGUCUGUCUGUGUGUGUGUGUGUGUGUGUGUGUGUGUGUGUGUGUGUGUGUGUGUGUGUGUGUGUGUGUGUGUGUGUGUGUCUGUGUGUGUCUGUGUGUGUGUGUCUGUGUGUGUGUGUGUGUGUGUGUGUGUGUGUGUGUGUGUGUGUGUGUGUGUGUGUGUGUGUGUGUGUGUGUGUGUGUGUGUGUGUGUGUGUGUGUGUGUGUGUGUGUGUGUGUGUGUGUGUGUGUGUGUGUGUGAGAGAGAGAGAGUAUACCACCCUGCCUUGUCUCAAUGCCUAGCCAGAAAUAACAAUGCAUUAUUCAUGUCCUGCCUUCUAGGCCACAGACACAAGUCAACGUUGUCUUUCUUAUUCAUUGAAAACGUCUCACGUGACGAAUCCUUAAACCAAUGGGUUCCCACUGUUCGUCUAUUCUCGUGUUGUUGUUCUGCAUUAUUUCCUGAGGAGAUGGAGAGGACAGGAAGGAGUGUUUCUGAGGAGGUGGAGAGGACAGGAAGGAGGGUUCCUGAGGAGAUGGAGGGGACAGGAAGGAGUGUUUCUGAGGAGAUGGAGAGGACAGGAAGGAGGGUUUCUGAGGAGAUGGAGGGGACAGGAAGGAGGGUUCCUGAGGAGAUGGAGGGGACAGGAAGGAGGGUUUCUGAGGAGAUGGAGGGGACAGGAAGGAGGGUUUCUGAGGAGAUGGAGGGGACAGGAAGGAGGGUUUCUGAGGAGGUGGAGGGGACAGGAAGGAGGGUUCCUGAGGAGAUGGAGGGGACAGGAAGGAGGGUUCCUGAGGAGAUGGAGGGGACAGGAAGGAGGGUUUCUGAGGAGAUGGAGGGGACAGGAAGGAGGGUUCCUGAGGAGGUGGAGGGGACAGGAAGGAGGGUUUCCAAAAAAGUGUUUAUCCCCAAGACGUUUGGUAAAAGUAUGAAUUAUAACGAGUGUAUCGGAUGGAAAAUACUGUAGGGACAAACAGUACUUAACUCACAAAAGCAAUGAUUUCCUCAUACUGAUAAAAAAAAAUAACAAAAUGUUUUGAAUGUUUUUUCUUCAUAUCUGAGAUACAAUGAAGCAAAGAAUGAAAGAAAUCAUUCCUAUCUAUAUAUCCUCUGUUCCCACUUCACUGUCAACCGGUCAACACAGACCCAGGUAGUGAAGAAUGAGGCAGAUGUAGAGAGAUCCAUUGCCUUUGUUACCAGGCUGUUUAAUACCGUCCUCGGCUCCAGAGGACCCUGGUUGCACUGAACAGAACAAUUAAACGGAGGCCGCGUUACAGCCUGUCACACCCUGAC